UACGUAGGUGGCAAGCGUUGUCCGGAAUCACUGGGCGUAAAGCGCACGUAGGCGGCUUUUUAAGUCAGGGGUGAAAUCCUGGAGCUCAACUCCAGAACUGCCUUUGAUACUGGCGAGCUUGAGUUCGGGAGAGGUGAGUGGAACUGCGAGUGUAGAGGUGAAAUUCGUAGAUAUUCGCAAGAACACCAGUGGCGAAGGCGGCUCACUGGCCCGAUACUGACGCUGAGGUGCGAAAGCGCGGGGAGCAAACAGG
rnacentral:rRNA from 1 species